AUUGAACGCUGGCGGCAUGCCUUACACAUGCAAGUCGAACGGUAACAGGUCUUCGGAUGCUGACGAGUGGCGAACGGGUGAGUAAUACAUCGGAACAUGCCUAGUAGUGGGGGAUAACUACUCGAAAGAGUGGCUAAUACCGCAUGAGAUCUACGGAUGAAAGCAGGGGAUCGCAAGACCUUGUGCUACUAGAGCGGCCGAUGGCAGAUUAGGUAGUUGGUGGGAUAAAAGCUUACCAAGCCGACGAUCUGUAGCUGGUCUGAGAGGACGAUCAGCCACACUGGGACUGAGACACGGCCCAGACUCCUACGGGAGGCAGCAGUGGGGAAUUUUGGGCAAUGGGCGCAAGCCUGAUCCAGCAAUGCCGCGUGCAGGAUGAAGGCCUUCGGGUCGUAAACUGCUUUUGUACGGAACGAAAAGCCCCGGGUUAAUACCCUGGGGUCAUGACGGUACCGUAAGAAUAAGCACCGGCUAACUACGUGCCAGCAGCCGCGGUAA
rnacentral:rRNA from 1 species